GACGAGGGGGUGAUUCAACUUUCCACAGAAUCUCAAAAUGGCGUCGAAUGGAGGAAAUGUAGAAUUAGACGGGUUUUGAAACAAACGUAAUAACUCAGUUUAGGAUCUAUAAUUUGGUCUAUAAACAGUGCCCAAACACAACAUCUGAAUGACUGGAGGUUGCUGAUGGGUUCCAGAAAAAGUGGCAGUUCCCCCACUGUCUGGGUGCUUUGGAUGGAAAACAUGUGGCAAUUCGACCCCCACCAAAUAGUGGCUCAGUUUUUUAUAAUUACAAGCAAUUUAACUUUAAGAUCUCAAGAUGCCGGCUAUCUGGUAAUACCCAAAGUUAAGAAAAAAACAGCUGGAGAUUUCAUGUUCCAACGUUG